GACGAAGGGGGCUAGCGUUGUUCGGAAUUACUGGGCGUAAAGCGCGUGUAGGCGGUUGUUCAAGUCGGGUGUGAAAGCCUUGAGCUCAACUCAAGAAAUGCACUCGAUACUGGAUGACUUGAGGACCGGAGAGGAUAGUGGAAUUCCCAGUGUAGCGGUGAAAUGCGUAGAUAUCGGGAGGAACACCUGUGGCGAAAGCGGCGCACUGGACCACAACUGACGCUGAGGCGCGAAAGCUAGGGGAGCAAACAGG
rnacentral:rRNA from 1 species